rnacentral:rRNA from 1 species
CCAAUAGCGUAUAUUAAAGUUGUUGCAGUUAAAAAGCUCGUAGUUGAAUUUCAGGCCUGGCUGGACGGUCCGCCCUUCGGGUGAGUACUGUCUGUAGUCGGGUCCUACCUUCUGGCGAAGCGUCAUGGCCUUAACCGGCCGUGGCGGGGAACCAGGACUUUUACUGUGAAAAAAUUAGAGUGUUCAAAGCAGGCAAUCGCUUGGAUACAUUAGCAUGGAAUAAUGGAAUAGGACAAUGGUUCUAUUUGUUGGUUUCUAGGACCGUUGUAAUGAUUAAUAGGGAUAGUUGGGGGCAUUAGUAUUCAAUUGUCAGAGGUGAAAUUCUUGGAUUUAUUGAAGACUAACUACUGCGAAAGCAUUUGCCAAGGAUGUUUUCAUUAAUCAAGAACGAAAGUUAGGGGAUCGAAGACGAUCAGAUACCGUCGUAGUCUUAACCAUAAACUAUGCCGACUAGGAAUCGGGCGACGUUAUUUUCAUGACUCGCUCGGCGCCUUAUG